ACAUCCAGAGAAUUUAGCAGAGAUGCUUUAGUGCCUUCGGGAACUCUGAGACAGGUGCUGCAUGGCUGUCGUCAGCUCGUGUUGUGAAAUGUUGGGUUAAGUCCCGNAACGAGCGCAACCCUUAUCCUUUGUUGCCAGCGCGUAAUGGUGGGAACUCAAAGGAGACUGCCGGUGAUAAACCGGAGGAAGGUGGGGAUGACGUCAAGUCAUCAUGGCCCUUACGAGUAGGGCUACACACGUGCUACAAUGGCGCAUACAAAGAGAAGCGACCUCGCGAGAGCAAGCGGACCUCAUAAAGUGCGUCGUAGUCCGGAUUGGAGUCUGCAACUCGACUCCAUGAAGUCGGAAUCGCUAGUAAUCGUAAAUCAGAAUGUUACGGUGAAUACGUUCCCGGGCCUUGUACACACCGCCCGUCACACCAUGGGAGUGGGUUGCAAAAGAAGUAGAUAGCUUAACCUUCGGGAGGGCGUUUACCACUUUGUGAUUCAUGACUGGGGUGAAGUCGUAACAAGGUAAGCGUAGUGCU
rnacentral:rRNA from 1 species